GACGAACGCUGGCGGCGUGCCUAAUACAUGCAAGUAGAACGCAGUUGCGAACGGGUGAGUAACGCGUAGGUAACUGCCUCAUAGCGGGGGAUAACUAUUGGAAACGAUAGCUAAUACCGCAUACUGUGAGAUGGACCUGCGUUGUAUUAGCUAGUUGGUGAGGUAAAGGCUCACCAAGGCGACGAUACAUAGCCGACCUGAGAGGGUGAUCAUCCCCUCUGGGACGGAGAAACGGCCCAGAAUCCUCCCUCUCCCCUCCCUACUUCCUCAUCUCCAUUUUACCGAAGUCUGAACUCACAACGCCGCGUGAGUGAAGAAUUUUUUCAAGUCCUCCACCUCUGUUGUUAGAGAAGCGGUAACUAACCAGAAAGGGACGGCUAACUACGUGCCAGCAGCCGCGGUAAUUC
rnacentral:rRNA from 1 species